GACGCAAACGCAGAGCAGCAACGCAAAGAAGAAGAGGCGGCAAGCCGACCAAGUAGUAGCUACCGAAACCCCAGAACCAGAUUCAGGCGACAUCAUUCAUGGCGAGGGCGAGCGGGAGCGGGAGGGGAACGAAUCGAAGCGACAAGGAGAGGAGACGAGCGCGAGGCGGUGUGACCUUGAGAGGCACGAAUACGAUGGGGCGCUCCCCGGCGCCGCGCGCCACCCAGAUCAGCCUGACGCCGCCCGCGGCCUCGGAGGCGGGACGCGGAGGAGCCGCCACGACGCGCCGGCGGAUCUUAGAGUAGGCCAGCACGCCGCCGUGGAUCUUGGAGUAGAUAGGUUGUGUCUAGUGUCUGAGAGAUUGAAAUGUAG
rnacentral:misc_RNA from 1 species